rnacentral:lncRNA from 1 species
CGGAACAUAGAAGAGAGGCCGGAAACGUUAAGAACUUGAUCGCCGGAGAACCCAGAAAAACAGAAGAAAAGGGGCUCCUCUAAUUAGGGCACGAAUCAACAGAAUAAAGACAUGGAAUUGAAGUAAAAGGAAGGAGGAGAAGAACCCUACCCCUCGUUGUCACCGUCGUCACUGGAGCUCACCGGAAAAUGACGAACACAGUCGGAAUUCUAGUUGUUCGAUCUCCCUCUAUGAUGGCCGAAGGUUGAAUCAAAGGGUAGAAGGACGUAGAGGAGAGAGAGAUGAGCCGAUUUGGGGUGGUUGCACGCCCAGCGACGGCCGGACGGCGUCACUCCUUCGAGGGUCGCCGG